GAUGAACGCUAGCGGCAGGCUUAACACAUGCAAGUCGAGGGGCAGCACGUCUUCGGAUGGUGGCGACCGGCGCACGGGUGCGUAACGCGUAUACAAUCUACCUUUUACAGGGGCAUAGCCCGGGGAAACCCGGAUUAAUAUCCCAUGGUACCAUGAUAUAGCAUUAUAUUUUGGUUAAAGCUUCGGCGGUGAAAGAUGAGUAUGCGUUCUAUUAGCUAGAUGGUAAGGUAACGGCUUACCAUGGCUAUGAUAGAUAGGGGUCCUGAGAGGGAGAUCCCCCACACUGGUACUGAGACACGGACCAGACUCCUACGGGAGGCAGCAGUGAGGAAUAUUGGACAAUGGGCGAGAGCCUGAUCCAGCCAUGCCGCGUGCAGGAAGACGGCCCUAUGGGUUGUAAACUGCUUUUAUACGGGAAGAAACACUCCCUCGUUAGGGAGCUUGACGGUACCGUAUGAAUAAGGAUCGGCUAACUCCGUGCCAGCAGCCGCGGUAAUAC
rnacentral:rRNA from 1 species